UGAAUAACUUCUACUGACAAUGUUUCCUUUGUUUUUAUGUUAAAAAAAGAAGAAGAAGAAGAAGAAGAAGUUGAAAACCUGAAAAGCACUUGCUUUGGACAGUCAAAAAGGUGUUCCUCAGAGGAGCCCCUUUCCAGACCUGACAUCUGCUUCCCGGCAUCCAAACGAAGAGACCCUCCCUCUGUGACAGCCUCCAGCGCUUUCUAUCUAUGGAUAUGGAACGUUUGAGAAGACUGAGAGAAGACUCAGAAAUUUUAUCAUCCCUGAACUGAAAGGAGCUGAAAACAGCUACAACAUCCUUUUCUCCCAAAUGUGGAUUAGGGAGCACCUCUUCCCUACAUUUUUGGGGGGUCCUUGUCUGUCCAGUGCAAUUUGACCUCCAGUUUUCUAGGACUCCAAAUGCUGGAUUUCCUGAGCUGUUUCUGGGGAAGGAGAAAGGUCCAUGCAGGCACCAUGAAUUGUGCAAACCACACCUUGUGGGAGCUUUCACCACAGAGCAGUCCUUCAAGGGGAUACAGACACACCUUGACUGAUUGCUGUGCGGGCAGAAAGAGGACUCGAGGGUCUGUGGAGUCAGGACAAGCUGCCAGCAGAGCUGUUCCCUUUUUUCUACCUCACCGAUCUGUAGUGUCCAAAAGACGCUUUCUGAAUGCCCCAGAUUCCGCCUGCACGAGCUGAACUGGCCUCUUUGCGCGGUCUCAGUGCUGUGUUUUGUAAAGAUAUCUGUGACCAUGACCCUGCCUGCCCUUGGCUUGCCCCUUGGUGCAGUGUGGUCUGGCCCUACCAAAUUACUGGCUGGUAUGGACGUACGUACGUACGUAUGUAGGGCAAGCACUGAGAUAUGCCAUGCUGUAGCCUGUUCCCUGUCCUGUGUGGGGCCGUGGAGCCUCGCCUCACCCAAUGCCUCUGACCCAGCUAUGGUGCAACGGUUCCCCUUCAGCCAGCCAGUUUAUCAAGAGAGGACAGUGGCUUUCUUCUAAGAAAUUACUGCUGAAGCCCUUCGCCACCGUCCAACCGGCUCAACAGAUAAUAUCUGACUCGUAACUUACCCAGCCCAUUAAUUUUGCUUUUAAGUGGCGUGACCAGCUCCAAAAGCAUUAUAACUAAUCUGUCUCACAGUUCAAUGGUAAGACAAAUUAUUAGGGAUGUAUUUUCAACAUAUCGCUUUUGUAUUUUAUUAAAAACAAAGUCUCCUAGCAGUUCAAAUUUCUUGUCUUUCAAUCUUGUGACUAGUUCUCUUGUUCUUCUGUCAUGAGCGAUCAAACACAAGCACUGGUUUUUGUUUCUUUGUACCACUUGUUUUUUUAUAUACCUUUAGGAGUUCCCUUUUUCAACUUAAAAGAGGUAAUCUUUUCAUUAUCCCUUUUCACAUGGAAGGUUAAACCAGGUCUGAGAACAUUUCAGAGUGUUCAGGGGUUGCCCACAUAAAGAAAUUCUCUGGAAGAGAUAUGGCAGAACACACACUGACAAUACAGUAGAAAAUCUUUGAAAGAACAUGAAAAAAAAAAAAUCUCAUUUCAUAACUGUGUGUCACAGGUCAGAUAUCCCAAAAAUCUGUUGCACUUUAACAUCCUAUUUUAUUCUGGAAUAACAUUCCCAUUCAGUCAACUCCUAUUUCUCAUUUACAUCUUCAUAGUUUUUAAGUAUACAGAAUGACAUGAAGUAUUCCCUUGUUGGCAUGCUGCUUACCUAUGGCAUUAUGGUUCUGACAGUGUGCCUUUUGUGAAACAUUUUUAACCCUUAGACAGCAGGCAAUAUUUAAAUCAUACACUGUACUCUUCUUAAACCUUCCUACUUUGGUACAUGAAUAGACCUAUGAGAAUUAAUAGAGAAUUGAAGUCUGUGAGUCUGACUUUUUACAACCACGUUUGAAACAACAUUAGUUCUAUUAACUUCUGUACAAAUUUCUGCAUGUUUCUCUGCGUAACUGAAAUUCCGAUUGAAAGAGCCAAACCUUUAAUAUGUGCAUUCACUAACACUCAUUAGUAGCCAAGGUCAUUAUUUUAGGUACUUUUUUAUGAUAUAGCUCAGGGAAUGAUGAAGAAUUACACACAAAAGAACAUGAUGUUGUUUGAGUUUUCUUAAUUCCAAAGUUUUACUGAGGUUCCUGGUUCUGUAUGUUACUAAAUGUACAAUAAUGAUAACAAUAAAAUCUUUGAAAACUC